rnacentral:rRNA from 1 species
AGAGUUUGAUCCUGGCUCAGGAUGAACGCUGGCGGCGUGCUUAACACAUGCAAGUCGAACGAUGAUGCCCACUUGUGGGUGGAUUAGUGGCGAACGGGUGAGUAACACGUGAGUAACCUGCCCUUGACUCUGGGAUAAGCCUGGGAAACUGGGUCUAAUACCGGAUAUGACCUUCCAUCGCAUGGUGGUUGGUGGAAAGCUUUUGUGGUUUUGGAUGGACUCGCGGCCUAUCAGCUUGUUGGUGGGGUAAUGGCCUACCAAGGCGACGACGGGUAGCCGGCCUGAGAGGGUGACCGGCCACACUGGGACUGAGACACGGCCCAGACUCCUACGGGAGGCAGCAGUGGGGAAUAUUGCACAAUGGGCGCAAGCCUGAUGCAGCGACGCCGCGUGAGGGAUGACGGCCUUCGGGUUGUAAACCUCUUUCAGUAGGGAAGAAGCGAAAGUGACGGUACCUGCAGAAGAAGCGCCGGCUAACUACGUGCCAGCAGCCGCGGUAAUACGUAGGGCGCAAGCGUUAUCCGGAAUUAUUGGGCGUAAAGAGCUCGUAGGCGGUUUGUCGCGUCUGCCGUGAAAGUCCGGGGCUCAACUCCGGAUCUGCAGUGGGUACGGGCAGACUAGAGUGAUGUAGGGGAGACUGGAAUUCCUGGUGUAGCGGU